rnacentral:lncRNA from 1 species
GAAAAGCUCCCAGGAAACGAAUGACACAACACGGACGGUCUUCCCCUCCUUCCUCAACUCAUCAGCAGCCUUGGCAGCAAUCUCCAGUUCAGAACCGGUACCCAUCACAAUGAGGUCAGGCUUGUUGCCAGUUGAGUUGUCAGAGAUGGUAUAUCCACCCUUCUCAACACCCUCAAUUGAGGUACCAGGCAGAUUAGGAAGCUUUUGCCUGGAGAGAGCGAGAACAGAUGGCCUCUUCCUGUUGAGAACUGCAACUUUGUAUGCUCCAGCGGUCUCAUUACCAUCAGCAGGACGGAGCAUCAAUAUGUUGGGCAUUGCGCGGAAACUCACCAAGUGCUCAAUGGGCUGAUGGGUCGGACCAUCUUCUCCGAGACCAAUAGAGUCGUGGGUCAUAACAUAGAUAACUCCAGCUUCAGACAAAGCUGAGAUCCUCAUGGCACCUCUCAUGUAAUCGGUGAAGACAAAGAAAGUAGCACAGUAUGGAACAAACCCUGGGCUGUGCAGAGCAAUGCCAUUGCAAAUGGCACCCAUUCCGUGCUCCCUGACUCCAAAGCGGACAUUGCGCUCCUCAGGUGUAUCCUUCUGGAAGUCACCAAACAUCUUAAGCAAUGUCAUGUUGGAGGACGCCAGAUCAGCACUACCUCCAAUAAGACCAGGCACAACUUUAGCAAGUGCGUUCAAGCACUGCUGGGAGAGGUUCCUGGUGGCAUCUCCUGGGAUCUCUGGAGUGUAUUUCUAGAAGAAGAAGAAAACAAUAAUCUACCAUUAGAGUUUAAUCUUCCACAUAUCAGCUGCAGUAUUGCAAGUAUAAAUGUAUACUUACAGGGAGAGCAUCAGCCCAGCCAGUGGGUAACUCCCCUGUGAUGAUACUUUUCAAGGUUGCUGCAUCCUCUGGGUACUUCUUCUCGUACUCUGCAAACUUAGCAUUCCAAUCAGCCUCAAGUGCAGCACCUUCAG